CCUACGGGCGGCAGCAGUGGGGGAUAUUGCACAAUGGGGGGAACCCUGAUGCAGCGACGCCGCGUGGGCGAAGAAGCGCCUCGGCGCGUAAAGCUCUUUCAGCAGGGAAGAAAAUGACGGUACCUGAAGCAGAAGCCACGGAUAACUACGUGCCAGCAGCCGCGGUCAUCCGUAGGGGGCAAGCCUUCUCCGGAUUUACUGGGUGUAAAGGGGGCGCAGACGGCGAUGGAAGUCAGGAGUGAAAUCCCGGGGCCCAACCCCGGGACGGCUCUUGGAACUGCGUGGCUGGAGUGCAGGAGGGGCAGGCGGAAUUCCUGGUGUAGCGGUGAAAUGCGUAGAUAUCAGGAGGAACACCGGUGGCGAAGGCGGCCUGCUGGACUGCAACUGACGUUGAGGCCCGAAAGCGUGGGGAGCAAACAGGAUUAGAUACCCGGGUAGUC
rnacentral:rRNA from 1 species